AAGGGUUGGACCCUUCACCUCAGGGAUUACCCCCCAGGGUAGGACCCUUCACCUCAGGGAUUACCCCCCAGGGUUGGACCCUUCACCUCAGGGAUUACCCCCAAGGGUAGGACCCUUCACCUCAGGGACUACCCCCUAGGGUAGGACCCUUCACCUCAGGGAUUACCCCCCAGGGUAGGACCCUCACCUCUGGGAUUACCCCCCAGGGUAGGACCCAUCACCUCAGGGAUUACCCCCCAGGGUUGGACCCUUCACCUCAGGGAAUCCCCCCCACGGUUGGACCCUCCACCUCAGGGAUUACCCCCUAGGGUAGGACCCUCCACCUCAGGGAUUACCCCCAAGGUAGGACCCUCCACCUCAGGGAUUACCCCCAAGGUAGGACCCUUCACCUCAGGGAUUACCCCCCAGGGUAGGACCCAUCACCUCAGGGAUUACCCCCCAGGGUUGGACCCUUCACCUCAGGGAUUACCCCCUAGGGUAGGACCCCUUCACCUCAGGGAUUACCCCCCAGGGUAGGACCUUCCACCUCAGGGAUUACCCCCCAGGGUAGGACCCUUCACCUCAGGGAUUACCCCCCACUCCAACUCCUGGGCCAGUUCCGCUCAAUCACCGACUCGUAACCUCAAGGAUUACGCCACACGUCUGCCCCUCCUUCUGCUUUCUGCCCCCGGAGGACAGGAUGAAGACUACGGCUCUGUGGAUGACGAUGAGUGCGUUGUGAAAGGACUUCCUGGAGGGAGGUUCUUUAGGGAGGGGAGGAGGUGGUGGGUCUGAAGUGGACUAGCAGGGCCUGGGAACCGUGUGUGAACAGUGUAUCUUACGCCCAGAAUUUGAUCAAUUUCCAUUCUCAUUUAUUGUUACUGUGGAUCAUAUCCAGCACUCAGGAAUAUAUAGGCCUGCAAUAGAUUUCUGCUGUAUUUUAGAUGGUUUUUGUAUUGUAUUUUGACAAAUUUACAAUUUAAUUCUUUAUCAGAUUUGUACUUUUGUGUGGUUUUGCAACGUAAAUGUAAGCCUAUUUGUUCCAUGUUAAUAAAACCCUUUGAAUUGAA
ensembl:lncRNA